rnacentral:rRNA from 1 species
UACAGAGGUGGCAAGCGUUGUUCGGAAUUACUGGGCGUAAAGGGCGCGUAGGCGGCCUUGUAAGUCCUGUGUGAAAUCCCCCGGCUCAACUGGGGAACUGCACAGGAGACUGCUUGGCUUGAGUUCGGGAGAGGGAAGCGGAAUUCCGGGUGUAGCGGUGAAAUGCGUAGAUAUCCGGAGGAACACCGGUGGCGAAGGCGGCUUCCUGGACCGACACUGACGCUGAGGCGCGAAAGCGUGGGGAGCAAACAGG